GCACAAUACGCACGCACACAGGCGAGAAACCUUUCAGAUGCAAGGAGACAGAGUGUGGGAAGGCGUUUGCAGCCAGCCACCACCUGAAGACGCACGUCCGCACGCACACAGGAGAGAAGCCGUACACGUGCAAGCAGGACGGAUGCACGCGCGCGUUCGCCACGCACUACAGCCUGAAGAAUCACCUCUACCGACACCUGAACUCCCUCAGCGAGCAAGGAUUGUUAGUCAGCAGCA